CCUACGGGGGGCAGCAGUGGGGAAUAUUGCGCAAUGGGCGAAAGCCUGACGCAGCGACGCCGCGUGAGGGAUGAAGGUCUUCGGAUCGUAAACCUCUGUCAGCAGGGAAGAACGGUCACUGUGCUAAUCAGCAGUGAAUUGACGGUCCCUGCAAAGGAAGCACCGGCUAACUCCGUGCCAGCCGCCGCGGUAAUACGGAGGGUGCGAGCGUUAAUCGGAAUUACUGGGCGUAAAGCGCUCGUAGGCGGUAUGUCAAGUCAAGGGUGAAAUCCCCGCGCUCAACGUGGGAACUGCCUUUGAAACUGGCAAACUGGAGUGUGUGAGAGGAUAGUGGAAUUCCAGGUGUAGGAGUGAAAUCCGUAGAUAUCUGGAGGAACAUCAGUGGCGAAGGCGACUAUCUGGCACAUAACUGACGCUGAGGAGCGAAAGCGUGGGUAGCAAACAGGAUUAGAUACCCCUGUAGUC
rnacentral:rRNA from 1 species